GCUUGGGUCUGUCAUUUUUCACUUUGUUCCAAUGUAAACACCAUUUGUAGAGGUGGCAAAAUGCAGCCCCUUAACAGAAUUAUGUGUUAAAGAAUAGAAUAGUAAACAUGGGAGUAAAUUCAUUUAAAAACAAAAACAUUCACAUUUGAGAAAAUUUUUAUAAGGUUCAUCUUUAAUAAUCUUUUCUCUAUUCAUGAUUGCUUUUUGCAGUUAGUGUUUAAAGUUAGUAUACAUAUGUCUCUCAUUCAAUUGUGAAAUAUGAAGGUAAUUUUGUUAAGUUUUUGUAUCUCCAGUCUCAAAUGUGCAGCUUGACAGAUAAAAAGUGCUCAACAAUUGUCUAGUCAAAGAGUAAGUGUAAGGCGGAACUGGCAGGCAUUUUAAUGUUUUGGAUUCUGAAGGCUGAAUUUUGGACACAACUACAAGCCCCUCGAUGCUCCCUGUACGAUGGUUGAAAAAGUUGACACAGUGCCUGGCAGGGAUAAGCUACUCAAUUACUUCUAACUAUUCACACGAUAAUUUCUCGGUUGCAUACCAUGUGCAGGCAUUUGGCCCAGGCACCUUCUGUGCUUUAUUUCAUUGAGUCAUAUCAACAGCUAUGAGUCUGUAAAGUGGGUCUUUUCCUUGUUUCCUUGGACGUUAAACUGAGACCUAAAGAAACACAAUCUAAUGGACACACAGUUGUUAAGGGGCAAAACCAGAAUUCAGUGUGUGAACAUAGGAGUUGAGGAGAACUCCUGCUUGGUUCUUUUGCAUUCUCCAGUUUCUAAAAGCCUCCAAAGCCUUUUGUCCCUGAAGGCCAGAGAAAGGAAAGAGAAGGAUGGGGCGGGAUGGGUGAGGGGUUCUCAAUGGCCUCUGAUUAAUUUUAGUCCCUGUGCUUACCAGUUGCACUUCUCAUUGUCUUUCCCUAGCUGGUUGUCAGUGACUUUCAAAAUAUAACUUAACGGGAACAUUUGAGAAAUUACUUGGAGAGAGAUAAUCUAUAGAAUGUGAUGUAAUUAUUGCUCACUGCAGGGCUGCCCCGAGGAGUGACAAGGGUGUGUAUUGAGGCAGCUUGUGAAGAGGACUUGAACGCUGUACCAGCUGCAUAUCCCUGGCUUCCUCCCAAGAGCUCCUGAUGGGAUAUUCUCCAUGAUUUCUAAGACCACCUGGAGUUAUUAGUCCCUUGAGGACCCCCAUAAGAUGCUUUAUUAUCCUUUCGUUUGCUCCCCAGGUGCUUUAACUCAGAUCCUCAUUCAUUGUGAGAUUGGAAAAACAUGCACGUGCAGGUCUUGUCUUAGGUAGCAAUAAAAUGCUAUUACUAGGUCCCCAAAUGUAAAUGACACAGGCAACUAUUUCAUAACAUCAAUAAAUCUAAUGUCUGUGUAAUCCGAAACCAGAGAUCCGAACUUUACCUUUGGGCUAACUCAAAAUCUGUAUCAUUGCAGUCAUUAGAAACCAGUUUUUAUUCCUUGUCUUAUUGAAGAGACUGCUGUUGAUAGUUUCUAAUUUUUAAAUAAUGAGUUUUUCUUUUUAGAUAUAAGCCAUGAGACAACUUUAAAAGUUUGUUUCUGAGGAGGUAAGAGUUGAAUUUAAAACAACAAAUGAAGCCUUUGCAUCACUAGCAUUCUUUUCCAUGUGUAUUAUCCAACACUGCAAUGUUAGAAAUAUUUUUGAAAGUGUUUUUGUAAAAAAAUGUAUUUCUAAAAAAAGAGCAUCAGUGAGAAAGAAAUGAAUUUAUGUAAAAAGCUUUUCAAAUAAAAGUGUAAAAAUUUUCACUUAGGGCACACAAAUAAAAUAAUUGUCUGAGAAUAUGGUCAUUUUCAGUAAUAUGACACUAACAAUUUCUAACUGUAUCUCUAUGUAGGGUUUAAAUUUUUUUAUGAACACGAAUUCAUUAUAGAACAAAUUACUGCAUUUAAGAGAAACAUCAAAAGCUGACUAUUUAUUUACUUUUACCAGUUAUUCUUCCUCCGUGGAAAUUAUGCUUCUGAAUAUAGUGAAUAAAACCAGAGGUGAUUACAUUGAUUUUGACUUAGUGCUAUUUUCAACAUAAUAAUAUUUCUUAUGGGAUAGAGAGCAUAAAAGGGAAGGCAAAGGGAAGAAAAUCACCUUUGCAUUUCCACUGUGUCAGCAGGUCAUGCAUUUGAUGUGUUACGUCAUAAUGCAAAAAUUAGCUGGGCAUGGUGGCGGGUGCCUGUAAUCCCAGCUAUUCAUGAGACUGAGGCAGAGAAUUGCUUGAACUCUGGAGGUGGAGGUUGCAGUGAGCUGAGAUCAUGCCACUGCACUCCAGCCUGGGUGACAGAGUGAGACUAUGUCUCAAAAAAAGAAAGAAAGAAAGAAAGAAAAAUUUGAAGUAUAGAGGGGAAUCACAAAAAUUCUAAAUGGUAACUCAUGUCAGGAACCUGAAAGUCAAGUCUUCACUUCAGCAUUGGGAAGUAUAUGAAACUGUUUUCGGACCACACAACUCUGUGAGCUCAUCGCUAAGAAUUGGUAUGCAAGGUCUUCAGAAGGGUAGGCAAUUUGUAAACUCCUUUUGACUUAGCUGGUAAGACAGAAAGUUCUUUUUUCAUGGCUAAAUGAUACUUGAGAAAAGAAAAAAUGUGGUGAAGCUGAAUGUAUCUAGUUGAAAUAAAAAUGCCUACCUUUCUCCUGCAUAGGCAAAAUAUACUACUUACAAGAAAAAAAGGAAUUUAUGAAUAGAAAUAGAAUCAGGUCACAGUGCAUUUCCUAAUUCUCCACUGGAUUUUAUUACUCAAGCACUGUAUUUUUACCUUUUAUCAUAGCUGUCAUUCGUCCUUGUACUUUAGAUAGCAGCUUAUCAACCCUUGUUAUAUCCUUACCUUCUUUAGGGUGAUGAUCUUAUCUUUAUUUUUGACCACACUUCCUGUGCCUGCCCCUUUUCUUACAUCAAUUUCUGUUCCACUUGGGAUUUUGUACUCACAGAUGUGACAUGAAUAUUUAUGAGAUUAAAGUGAAUGGUCCAACAUCAAUUCAGAAAAAUUUUGAUCCAUUCGUCCAAAUUAUUUAAAAUAUUCCCUUUCUAAUUGAGGCAGCAAGGCCUCUAGCUUAGUGCUCAUUUUCCCUCUCUAAGCAUAUUCAUGCCAUUAGGGUAUUAAUUUCUUCUAAACUAAAGCUCUUAUCUCCUCAUAAUUCAUUAUGUCUGUUUUUGAUUCGCACUAUCAUUGUGGUCUCUCAACUUACUCCCGUUAACA
rnacentral:lncRNA from 1 species